rnacentral:rRNA from 1 species
UUAGGUGCUAUGCUGCAGUUCGAGCGACGCAUGCCCAGUUCGUAAGAACAGGGUAUGACGGAGCGGCGAACGGGUGAGUAACACGUGAGCAACCUGCCCCACAGACCGGGAUAGCCCAAGGAAACUUGGAUUAAUACCGGAUUCCCUCGAACAAUCGCAUGGUUGAUCGAGGAAAGGCCUUUGUGCUGUGGGAUGGGCUCGCGGCUUAUCAGCUAGUUGGUGGGGUAAAGGCCUACCAAGGCAUCGACGAGUAGCUGGUCUGAGAGGACGAUCAGCCACACUGGAACUGAGACACGGUCCAGACUCCUACGGGAGGCAGCAGCAGGGAAUCUUGCGCAAUGGGCGAAAGCCUGACGCAGCAACGCCGCGUGGGGGAUGAAGGCCUUCGGGUUGUAAACCCCUUUCAGGAGGGAAGAAAUUGACGGUACCUCCAGAAGAAGGACCGGCCAACUACGUGCCAGCAGCCGCGGUAAUACGUAGGGUCCUAGCGUUAUUCGGAAUCAUUGGGCGUAAAGAGCUCGUAGGCGGUUCAGCAAGUCGGCCGUGAAAGUCCGAGGCUUAACCUCGGAAUUGCAGUCGAUACUGCUGUGACUCGAGUCCGGUAGAGGAGAAUGGAAUUCUCGGUGUAGCGGUGAAAUGCGCAGAUAUCGAGAGGAACACCAGUAGCGAAGGCGGUUCUCUGGGCCGGCACUGACGCUGAGGAGCGAAAGCGUGGGGAGCAAACAGGAUUAGAUACCCUGAUAGUCCACGCCGUAAACGUUGGAUACUAGGUGUGGCGGUUGUACCAAC